AAGUUUCUUACAAACAAGCAAUGGUAAAGGAUCAGAACAAGAUUUUGCGAGAUUUUCAUUUCCGUACUUAACAGAGAAGAACAAAGGAUCAUUUCCUUCAGGAACCAAA